rnacentral:rRNA from 2 species
AGAGUUUGAUCAUGGCUCAGGAUGAACGCCGGCGGUGUGCCUAAUACAUGCAAGUCGAGCGCACUGGCCCAACUGAUAUGACGUGCUUGCACUGAAUUGACGUUGGAUUCCCAGUGAGCGGCGGACGGGUGAGUAACACGUGGGCAACCUGCCCUGAAGCGGGGGAUAACAUCUGGAAACAGGUGCUAAUACCGCAUAACAACGAAAACCACAUGGUUGUCGUUUCAAAGAUGGUUUCGGCUAUCACUUCAGGAUGGGCCCGCGGUGCAUUAGCUAGUUGGUAAGGUAACGGCUUACCAAGGCGAUGAUGCAUAGCCGAGUUGAGAGACUGAUCGGCCACAAUGGAACUGAGACACGGUCCAUACUCCUACGGGAGGCAGCAGUAGGGAAUCUUCCACAAUGGGCGCAAGCCUGAUGGAGCAACACCGCGUGAGUGAAGAAGGGUUUCGGCUCGUAAAGCUCUGUUGUUGGAGAAGAACGUGCGUGAGAGUAACUGUUCACGCAGUGACGGUAUCCAACCAGAAAGUCACGGCUAACUACGUGCCAGCAGCCGCGGUAAUACGUAGGUGGCAAGCGUUAUCCGGAUUUAUUGGGCGUAAAGCGAGCGCAGGCGGUUGCUUAGGUCUGAUGUGAAAGCCUUCGGCUUAACCGAAGAAGUGCAUCGGAAACCGGGCGACUUGAGUGCAGAAGAGGACAGUGGAACUCCAUGUGUAGCGGUGGAAUGCGUAGAUAUAUGGAAGAACACCAGUGGCGAAGGCGGCUGUCUGGUCUGCAACUGACGCUGAGGCUCGAAAGCAUGGGUAGCGAACAGGAUUAGAUACCCUGGUAGUCCAUGCCGUAAGCGAUGAGUGCUAGGUGUUGGAGGGUUUCCGCCCUUCAGUGCCGGAGCUAACGCAUUAAGCACUCCGCCUGGGGAGUACGACCGCAAGGUUGAAACUCAAAGGAAUUGACGGGGGCCCGCACAAG